rnacentral:rRNA from 1 species
GACGAACGCUGGCGGCGUGCCUAAUACAUGCAAGUCGAGCGGAAGUUGAAGAGCUUGCUCUUCAACUUUAGCGGCGGACGGGUGAGUAACACGUGGGCAACCUGCCCUGCAGAUCGGGAUAACUCCGGGAAACCGGUGCUAAUACCGAAUAGUUUUCGCCACCUCCUGGUGGCGUACGGAAAGACGGUUUCGGCUGUCACUGCAGGAUGGGCCCGCGGCGCAUUAGCUAGUUGGUGGGGUAACGGCCCACCAAGGCGACGGUGCGUAGCCGACCUGAGAGGGUGAUCGGCCACACGGGGACUGAGACACGGCCCAGACUCCUACGGGAGGCAGCAGUAGGGAAUCUUCCGCAAUGGACGAAAGUCUGACGGAGCAACGCCGCGUGAGUGACGAAGGUUUUCGGAUCGUAAAACUCUGUUGUGAGGGAAGAACAAGUACCAACUAACUACUGGUACCUUGACGGUACCUCACCAGAAAGCCACGGCUAACUACGUGCCAGCCGCCGCCGUAAUAC